UUCACUGACGAGUCCCAAAUAGGACGAAACGUAUGUCCAAGAC
rnacentral:hammerhead_ribozyme from 1 species